UUGAGCCGUGUGCGUCUAAAGGCGCACGCACGGUUCUUAGAGGGCUGGGGAUGGGUAACCGUCCCUGGCUACUCGGC
rnacentral:ncRNA from 1 species